CAAGUCGAACGCGCAGUUCGGUGUAGCAAUACAUCGGGCGGGCGCGUGGCGAACGGGUGCGUAACACGUGGAUAACCUUCCUUCAGGUGGGGAAUAACCCAGCGAAAGUUGGGCUAAUACCGCAUCACAUUACGAGGGCACAUGCUCUUGUAUUCAAAGCCGCAAGGCGCCAGAAGAGGGAUCCGCGGCCGAUUAGCUAGUUGGCGAGGUAAUGGCUCACCAAGGCAAUGAUCGGUAGCCGGACUGAGAGGUUGGCCGGCCACACUGGAACUGAGACACGGUCCAGACUCCUACGGGAGGCAGCAGUGGGGAAUCUUGCGCAAUGGGCGAAAGCCUGACGCAGCAACGCCGCGUGGGGGAUGAAGCUUCUCGGAGUGUAAACCCCUUUCGACCCGGAAGAAUGUCCGCAAGGACUUGACGGUACGGGUAUAAGAAGCCCCGGCUAACUACGUGCCAGCAGCCGCGGUAAUACGUAGGGGGCCAGCGUUGCUCGGAAUUACUGGGCGUAAAGGGUCCGUAGGCGGUGUGGUAAGUCGGAAGUGAAAUCUCUGAGCUUAACUCAGAGGCUACUUUCGAAACUGCCGUGCUAGAGUGUGAGAUAGGCGAGUGGAAUUGCGGGUGUAGCGGUGAAAUGCGUAGAUAUCCGCAGGAACAUCCGAGGCGAAAGCGGCUCGCUGGAUCACAACUGACGCUGAGGGACGAAAGCUAGGGGAGCAAACAGGAUUAGAUACCCUGGUAGUCCUAGCCCUAAACCAUCAGGACUUGGGGUUUGCCCUGUACGGGGCAAGUCCCGUAGCUAACGCGUUAAGUCCUGCGCCUGGGGAGUACGGUCGCAAGACUGAAACUCAAAGGAAUUGACGGGGGCCCGCACAAGCGGUGGAACAUGUGGUUCAUUCGACGCACCGCGA
rnacentral:rRNA from 1 species